CCCUUGGUGUGGAACAGGCACAGGGCGGCAAGCAGUUUUUGCUUGUAGGUCGGCCACAUUUGAACUGUAGUGCCAUGCCGCACUCAUUAACCCUAUGGUUAAUAAAGAGUAAUGUUUAGUAAAGAGAGAUAUUAUAAUGUAUGCACGUUAGACAUUAAUGUUAAUAAUAUACUUAAUAAAGCAGUCUAUAUACAACCAUUGAAGCGAGUAGUCUUAUUUUAUUCUACAUGGCGACCCGCAGGCCUGCACAGUCAGCAUUCCGCUGGCUGUGCAGUAAAAGAAAAAAAAGAACCUCAAAGUAUUUAUAUAAAAUUGCGGUUCAGUAAAAGAAAUUUUACCUGAAGUGAAAAAUGAUAAAUUUAUAUGUUGAAGAUUGAAUUAAAAAUUGAAAUUUAAAUGCUGAAAGUUGAAAGAAAGUUGAACAGAGUGAUAGAAAAUAAAUAUGAUGUGUUAGAAAACCAACAAAAACUAAAAACGGUGAAGAAUUACUGACCCGCGUCACAUGAAAAAAAAAUGAAAAUGCUGAUUGGCUGAAUAUAAACUUGGGCACUGCGACCUCGGUUGGACCAGAAAUCCGAGUCCAGGCAGCGACUUUUUGGCGGUUUUGACGAAAACCGAAACAACAAGAAGCAAUCGAACAAUGGCACCUGUGAAGACUUCCUUUGGACAACAAUGUGAGAUCAAAUCUUUCGGACGAUUCUAAAACGAUAAAUGCAAGCAAUUUAUAAUGGAAAUGGUAACAGACAUGAAACGAGAAAUUAAAAAAGGUAUCAAUUUGUAGAAAAUAUGGUGGACGAAAGUAUAAAAACGAGAUUAUUCUUGAGACAAUUGUGAAAAUGUUUACUCAUAUUGGUUAAAAAAAAAAGAAUCUGUAAAAGUGAUGACAUGAAAUUAUUGUUAAGACGAGAGUGAAGAUAUUAAUUGGUAUUCGUAUUCAUGUUUAUCCAUAUUGGUGCCUCUAAAUGUGAAAAAGAAAAGAAAGAAUGAUAUAUGUAAAAUGAAGAAUUGUUUGUGAAAAAUUUGAAAUUUUUAUGAUCAAAGUGGUGAAAAAAAAUUGAGCCACGCCAACAUGAGCGGAUGUUAAAAAAAAAAAAAAAAACAUUUUAGUUGAAACGCGACAACAUAAAGUAAGGUUUUUGCUGAUCAAAGCAUGAUUUGAUUGUUGCAAUAACAAUUUGCUUGAAAGAAAUGCGAUACCAUGAAUUGCAAUGAAAGUGAAAAUGUAUAUUAUUUGCUAAUCAAAACAUAAUUCAUGCAUAUGAUGUAGUUUAUUACUACAUGAAAAAAAAAAUGAAAUUUCAAUUUCUUAAUAUAUUCGGUUUUUGAAAUGGCAUCUCCAUAGUUGUUAUGGUCUGAAGACAUAAAUGUAGAAAGCUUAAAUUUGAACUUUGAAAACUUUUGAAAUGGAACCUUGAUAUUAAAUGAAGAACUGAGAGAUGAUUUUGUACUUUUCAAAAUUUAACGGUGUCAGUGUUGGUACGAAAAUUUUUGGUUGGGCACUUUGAAAUUGACUGAAUUGAAGGAUUAAAUUGAAGAGUUGAGAUAUGACUUCGAUUUUUUGAUAAAUACGAUAUGAAUAUUUAUAUGAAAGCAAUACAUUUUGAUAGAAAUUUGAAAUUGAGUAACGAAAUGAAAUUUGAAAUUUGAAGCUUUGGAUUACUUAAUGAAUGCUAUACUUAUGUAAAAAUUUUGAUAACGAACUUUGAAAUUGAAUGACGAAUUAUGAACUUUGAAACGAACUAGAAUUGAGGUAUGACGGAAAAUAAUUGUAUGAAGUUAAUGUUGAAGAAUUUUGUAAAGGUGUUAAAUUUGGUGGCUUAGCUAUUGAAAGCAUUAAAAAAAAAAAAGAGAAGAAAAGAAGAUCUGAUCAAAAAUUGAAAUCGAAACUUGAAAACGCUUAUUUUUCUGAAAGAGAGGUAGAAAUUUCAUGGUAGAAUGAUAUC